GUUUUCCAUGUGCAGUCACAGAAUUCCCACAAUGUUUGUGCAUUCGACUUCAACAGUCCCAGGGUACCAAGGCUCUGUGUGACUCCAUGAGGCUGCCACAGCUUUGGAGAGCAGGCUACUUCCUGCACCAGCCACCUUCCCAGUGUGGAGGUCUCUGCUGGUUGAUCUGGGCUCCUGCCAAAAUGGCACCUUCUGCCUGCUAGUUUGGGUGCUCUGUAAGAGUCCUUGUGACUCUGCUCAGACUGCUCAAGUUGAACUUGAUGGCGCUUCCUGGAUCAUACCAGAUGUGAGCUGCAGAGUUAGUGGGUUCCCAGGGCGGUUGGGGCGGUCUAGAGCCACCCUCUCCCCACACAGUCCCUUGGCCUGCUAAAGAAGGAAGGAAAGUUGAUACUUGCAUAGUUACUGCCUUCAGAACAGGUGACGCCGGCUCCAACCAGUUAGCCAAACUGGACGCUGUUCCUGGUAAUCUUGCUUCA